GAUGAACGCUAGCGGGAGGCUUAACACAUGCAAGUCGAGGGGCAUCACGAGGUAGCAAUACUUUGGUGGCGACCGGCGCACGGGUGAGUAACGCGUAUGUAACCUACCCUGUACAGGGGGGAUAGCCCGGAGAAAUUCGGAUUAAUACCCCAUAAAGAUAUCGGAAGGCAUCUUUUGAUAUUUAAAGUUUCGACGGUACGGGAUGGGCAUGCGUAACAUUAGCUAGUUGGUAAGGUAACGGCUUACCAAGGCGACGAUGUUUAGGGGUCCUGAGAGGGUGAUCCCCCACACUGGUACUGAGACACGGACCAGACUCCUACGGGAGGCAGCAGUGAGGAAUAUUGGUCAAUGGGCGUAAGCCUGAACCAGCCAUCCCGCGUGAAGGGAAGACGGCGCUAUGCGUUGUAAACUUCUUUUAGACGGGACAAAACCCCUUACGUGUAAAGGGUUGAUGGUACUGUCAGAAUAAGCAUCGGCUAACUUCGUGCCAGCAGCCGCGGUAAU
rnacentral:rRNA from 1 species